AUUGAACGCUGGCGGCAGGCUUAACACAUGCAAGUCGAGCGGAGAUGAGGUGCUUGCACCUUAUCUUAGCGGCGGACGGGUGAGUAAUGCUUAGGAAUCUGCCUAUUAGUGGGGGACAACAUUCCGAAAGGAAUGCUAAUACCGCAUACGUCCUACGGGAGAAAGCAGGGGAUCUUCGGACCUUGCGCUAAUAGAUGAGCCUAAGUCGGAUUAGCUAGUUGGUGGGGUAAAGGCCUACCAAGGCGACGAUCUGUAGCGGGUCUGAGAGGAUGGUCCGCCGCACGGGGACGGAGAGACGGCCCAGACUCCUACGGGAGGCAGCAGUGGGGAAUAUUGGACAAUGGGGGGAACCCUGAUCCAUCCAUGCCGCGUGUGUGAAGAAGGCCUUAUGGUUGUAAAGCACUUUAAGCGAGGAGGAGGCUACUGAGACUAAUACUCUUGGAUAGUGGACGUUACUCGCAGAAUAAGCACCGGCUAACUCUGUGCCAGCAGCCGCCGUAA
rnacentral:rRNA from 1 species